rnacentral:rRNA from 1 species
CGCUAAAUAGCUAGCCCAAACAAUAACUAAACUACUUAUACAACCUAACUUAAUUAUACAUUUAAAAUGUAACUUAAACCAUUCUCCCACUUUAGUAUCGGCGAUAGAAACAGGUCAUUGGAGCCAUAGACUAAGUACCGCAAGGGAAAACUGAAAUAUUAAAUGAAAACACUCAAGCAAACUAUAGCAGAGCUACACCCUCGUACCUUUUGCAUCAUGAUCCAGCAAGUCAUUGCAGGCAAAGAGGUCUUUAGUCUGACCCCCCGAACCCAGGUGAGCUACUUCGAGGCUGCCUAACAUUAAAGGGCUAACCCGUCUCUGUGGCAAAAGAGUGGGGUGAACUCCAAGUAGAGGUGAUAAACCUACCGAACCUGGUGAUAGCUGGUUAUCUAGGAAGCGAAUAUAAGUUCAGCCCCCAUCUUCCCACUAGCCCCCAUAAUGUAUGUUAAACCUUUGGCUAGGGUGUUAAGUCUGGGGAGUAAUUCAAGGGAGGUUCAGCUCCCUUGAAAGAGGAUACAACCUUACGCAGGUGGAUAAAAAUCAUUUAAUCAAGGUAUUUGUGGCCCAAGUAGGCCUAAAAGCAGCCACCACAUCAGACAGCGUUAAAGCUCAAGCCACAUCAACCCUAUUAUUAGGAACACCCGUUUUAUUCCCCUAAUCCUACUAGAUCACUCUAUUUAUAUAUAGAAAAGACUAUGCUAGAACGAGUAAUAAGGGGCCUAUACAACCCCUCCCUGCAUAAGUGUACCUCGGACCGGACCACCCCCCGAACAUUAUACGACCUCAACAUCUGAGAUGAAUGGAAUGAAUAUAAAGUACUAGAAAAGCAUCCACCCUCCCCCAUCGUUAACCUAACACAAGAAUGCACCAGGGAAAGACUAAAAGAGAGGGAAGGAACUCGGCAAACACUAGCCCCGCCUGUUUACCAAAAACAUCACCUCUUGCAAUUUUAAUGAAUAAGAGGCCACGCCUGCCCGGUGACCAAAAGUUUAACGGCCGCGGUAUUAUGACCGUGCAAAGGUAGCGUAAUCACUUGUCUUUUAAAUGGAGACCUGUAUGAAUGGCGAGACGAGGGCGAAACUGUCUCCCCCCUUCGGUCAAUGAAACUGAUCUCCCCGUGCAGAAGCGGGGAUACUCCCACAAGACGAGAAGACCCUAUGGAGCUUGAGACUUUGGAAAGCCUGCCUUAAGUAAAUUGAUAUUACCUAUUUAAACCCCGGCAUCCCUUAUCUAAAUGUCUUUGGUUGGGGCGACCGCGGAGACAAAUCUAACCCCCGCGUGGAUUGGGUACCCCCUAUAAUCAAGAGCUACAGCUCUAAAUAUCAGAAGAUCUGACCUUUAAUGAUCCGGCCUGCCGAUCAACGAACCGAGUUACCCUAGGGAUAACAGCGCAAUCCUCUUCUAGAGCCCCUAUCGACGAGAGGGUUUACGACCUCGAUGUUGGAUCAGGAUAUCCUAAUGGUGCAGCCGCUAUUAAGGGUUCGUUUGUUCAACGAUUAAAAUCCUACGUGAUCUGAGUUCAGACCGGAGAGAUCCAGGUCAGUUUCUAUCUGUGAUGAUAUCUUUUCUAGUACGAAAGGACCGAAAAGAUGGGGCCUAUGCCUAAGGCACGCCCCCUCCCUACCCACUGAACUUAACUAAAGAGGAUUAAGGGGUACGCCCAUGCGCCAAAGAGCAUGGCCU